rnacentral:rRNA from 1 species
UACGUAGGGGGCAAGCGUUGUCCGGAAUUAUUGGGCGUAAAGAGCGCGUAGGCGGUCCGAUAAGUCGGCUGUGAAAGUCAGGGGCUCAACCCUUGGAAGCCGGCCGAUACUGUCGGACUAGAGUCCGGAAGAGGCGAGUGGAAUUCCCAGUGUAGUGGUGAAAUACGUAGAGAUUGGGAAGAACACCAGUGGCGAAGGCGGCUAUCUGGACGGUUUCUGACGCUAAGACGCGAAAGCGUGGGGAGCAAACAGG